AAAUAAACCUUCACUUUCAUCCACUGUCAGAUUUUACAUGGUAUCAGACGCUUCAUUGACCAACGUCCAACCUUUCAUUGCUCCUCUCUACAUCACAAAACAAUGUCUGCAUCUCCCGAUUCCUCUACCUCCGAUGCUCAAGCAAACCAUCUCCCUACUUACAACCCCCGUCCUCCAUCAAUGUCACAAAACUCAACCACCAAAACUACCUAAAGGCCACCCUGCUUUCGUAUCUAAAAGGCCAAAAGGUUUUUGGGUAUGUCGACGGAACUCUAAAGUCACCACCGAAGGAGCUCAUUGCUGCCGAUGGCACUAAGUCUCCUAAUCUUUUGUUCGGCACUUGGGGGAUGCAGGAUAACUUGAUCCUAAGUUGCUUGAAUGCCUCACUCACUGAUCAGGUCCUUACACAGGUUGCUCACUAUGAUACUUCUAAUGCCGUAUGGAUGGCCCUUGCCCUUGCCUUUGCCUUUGCUUACCAGUCUCGGGCUCAAGCAAUUCAGGUGAGAUCUCAACUAUCCAAUACUCGCAAGACCACUCAAUCCGCUAGCGAGUACUUCAUGCAGAUCAAACGCAUGACUGAUGCUCUUGCAAUAGCUGGUCAACCCAUGAAAUGUGACGAGAUCAUUACUUAUCUUCUCUCUUGCCUGGGGCCUGAGUAUGACUCACUAGUCACCACAAUCUCAUCUUAAGACGUCCCUCUUUCCUUAGAGGAUAGAUACUCCAUGUUGCUCACCUGUGAGGCUCGCGUUCAACAUCACUCCUACUCCGUGCCUAUAGCUAAUGCUUCAACAAAUGUUGCCACGAAGCCACCAAUUUUCUCUGGUUCUUGCAGCCGUGGCAAUUCAUCCAACUCACGGGGCAAGGGGCGUGUUUCUGGCUGAGGUAAUAACGUUUCCCGUUCUCCGUUAAUUUCUAAUUUAUGGUGCCAAAUAUGUGACAAAGUAGGACACGCGGCCUCGAGGUGCUUCAAGCGCUAUGAUCCUAACUUUAACCCACCACCAUUCAGACCACAUGCUCAAGCCAAAUUCUCCACUACUCAAACUCAACACCCAACUGAUCAACAGUGGCUUGCUGAUACUGGAGCAACACACCAUCUAACAAACAAUCUUGGCAACCUCAGCAUUCGUGGUGAUGACUGAUAAGUGUGUUUUUACACACUUAUUUGACCACGAAACAUGACUAAUUGUUGAUCAAAGCGUUUGAAUUAUGGCUUAAUUCUAUAUAAUUAUAUUUUGUAGGACUAUAUUGAUGAAUGUGGCGAAAUUCAAGAGAAAAGAAACGAAAAAGGAUCAAAAAGGAAAAAAAAUUCAAAGUACGAGGACUAAAUUACAACAAUUCAAUAGUUGAUUCGGACCACAAAAUGAAGACUAAAGUUGUUGCAGGUUCAAUUGGAUACAAUUAAUAGUCAAUGGGUUGAAAAUGCAAGAGAAAGGACUUGAAAGAAUCAAGAAUCGACUUCGAAGGCUAAAAUGCAACAUUCGGG
rnacentral:lncRNA from 1 species